CCGGCACAUGUUAAGAUGCGGAGCUCCUGCAGGCUGGGCUGCGGCACUGAGGAACUCUGCUGAGCUGUGCAGUUCGUGCAGCCAGAGAUUCCCAACAAUGUCAUUGUGUGCCGGAGCCGGGCGGCCACUGCACCAGCCGCUCAACUUGGCCCGAGCCCUCCGCUCGCCCCGGGCGCCCUGCGGGGGGCCACAACCCGGGCCCCCACGGAGCCCCGCGCGCCCCGGCCCGUACGAGAGAACACGGCCUUCCAGCCACUGGCAAAGGAAAGGAGGAUGCCUUCCAGUUGGAGACGAGAGAUGGGAAUGGGCCAAAUUGAGUGGGUACCAGAGAGAAGAGGCCAGCUGCUGACCCAGAGGAGCUCGACCUUGCUCGCUCAUUCUCAGGAGAGACGACGAUGCUCUGCCUGACUGGGCCCUCUCCAUGGACCCUGUUUCUGCCUUCUGCUAACCAGGAGUCUCUCGGAGGAGGAGAGUCCAUCAUUCCCAGCAUGCCGCUCCCGACUGUUUGUUCUGCAGAACCUGGAUUUCCAGCCUCUCCAAAGGCAAGCUUCUUUUUCCCCCCUCUCUGCCAUAAUCCGCCUUUAAACAAGACAUUAAUUCCCUCUUCAGAUCUCAAGUGGUUCUUUUCAUCCUUGCAGCCCUUACCACCUUGCCUGCAUCCAGACCUGUUCAUUGGAUGAAACAGAUACAGGCUCAGAGGGGAAAAAAAAAAAGCCAUUCACUCUUUCAAAUGUCAUUUUGAAACUUCAAAGGAACGCUGUCAACCGGGGUUAGGGAAUGCAUCAGAUGUUUCCUUUGAGAGCGAUGAGAUGAGUGUGUGGAAGAUAGAAACACAUGUUCCCAGUGUUCCCUAUAACCUGCUCCCCCCUUUCCUCCCCCCCCCAGUUAGUGUAAAACAUACUUCACUGUAGCCAGAAAAUACUCAGAGAGAGCUGUUACGUUUCCCAGUAGAAUAAGGCCAAUUAGACAUUUGGAGUUUUUUUUUUUUAAAUCAAAAUUCAAAUUGUAAAUUUCCUGCAGGAAAGUGACUUUUUUUUUUUUAAUGAGGAUGAACAGCAGAGCUAACUUCUCUACGUGCAUGGGGUAACUGCAUUGUUAUGGGACUCGCUCUCUUUUUUUAACCUUUAUCUUCUAUCUUAGAAUCAAUACUAAAUAUCUGUUCCAAGGCAGAAGAGCGAUCUGGGCUAGUCAAUGGGGGUAAGUGACUUGCCCAGGGUCACACAGCUAGGAAAUGUCUGAAAUCAGAUUUAAACCCAGGACCUCCCAUCUCCACACCUGGCUCUCUUGCCACCAACCCACCUAACUGCCUUUUAUGAGAAUCUUAAGAUGAUGCUGCCUGUAUGAUCUUGGGAAGUCCCAUAGCUUCCUUAGGUCUCAGGUUCCUCUUCUGUAAAAUCUGAUUGGACCAGAUGCCCUCUGAGGUCCUUUUUUGUUCUAGAUCUUUGAUUCUGAAAAUCUAAAAGCCCAAUUUGGCCAUCACUUAUUAAUUAUCUGAGAGGCAGCACAGAACAGUGGAUAGAGAGCUGAUCUCAUAGCCAGAAAGACCUGAGUUCAAGUCCUACCUCUUUGCAGAUUCUUACAAACUCUGUUCCAUCUCCCAUCUUUAUACCAUUGAGCUGGUGAUUCCUCUUGCCUAGAAUGUUCCUCCUCCUUACUUUUGCCUCCUGGAGUCCCUGGUUUUCUUCAGCCAAAUGAAAUCUUAUUAAAGUGUCCAGGAGAAACAUAGAUGUCUCUCAUAGCAGGAAAAAAACCCCACCACAUCUAUUUUGAUGCAAUCCCCUCUACCUGCCAACUCAGCUCCUAGUGCCUUCCCUCCUAGAAUCACCUUAUCUGUUUUUAGAUAAAAAUAUCUAGUUUUAUCUGGUUUUUUUGUAUAUACCUAUGUGCGGUGGGGGUAUCCCCUCUAUUAGAAUAUAAACUCUUCAAAGGGGAGUGACCUUCAUCUUUGGUUUUAUUUGCCCUGUAGAGUGCUGGGUCUGGAAUCAAGAAAACCCAAGAUCAAAUCCUGACCCAGACGCUUAUUAACGGUGUGAUCCUGGGCAAGUCAUUUAAUCUGUUUGCCUCAGUUUCACUAUCUACAAAAUGGGGGAAAUAAAGCCCCCUACACUUCCUAGGUUGGCUGAGAUAACAAAGGACGUGCUUUAAUAAGAUUUCAUUUUGGUUGAAAAAACUAGGAAUUUUUGGCGUCAAAAUUAAGGAGGAAGAACAUUUUGGGCAUAACAGUGUGAUCCUGGGCAAGUCAUUUAAUCUGUUUGCCUCAGUUUCACCAUCUACAAAAUGGGGAAAAUAAAGCCCCUACUUCCCAGGGUGGCUUAGAUAACAAAGGACAUGCUUUAAUAAGAUUUCAUUUUGGUUGAAAAAACUAGGAAUUUGUGGCGUCAAAAUUAAGGAGGGAGAACAUUUUGGGCAUGGAGGGCCACCGGUGCAAAGGCUUGGAGAUGGAAGAUGGAGCACAGUUUGUAAGGAUCAGCAAGGAGACCAAUUUGGGUGGACCGCUGAAUGUAUGGAAGAAUAUAAUUAUAAGAAUGACAAGAUAGGAAAUGAUUCAGUUGAUUCCAACUCAUCAUGACUCCAUCUUGGGGUUUUCUUGUUAAAGAUGCUGUUGUGGUUUGCCAUUUCCUUCUCCAGCUUAUUUUACACAUGAGGAAACUGAGGCAAACAGAGUGAAAAGACUUGCCCAGGGUCACACAGCCAGUAAGAUGAGCCUUCUUGAUUCUAAGACUUGUGCUCUCAUCCGCUGUACCAUCUAACUGUUCCAAGGUUGCAAGGAGCUUUCGAUGCCAAACAAAGAAGGUUCUAUUUAAUCCUAUAGGCAAUAGGGAGCCCCCAGAAUUUACUGAGUAGGGGAAUGACAUUGGGAGACCUACACUUUGGGAAAAUCACUUUGUUAUGUGGUCGUGGAUGAGAUAAAAGGAGAGACAUGAGGCAGUUAAGAGACUGCUGCAAUGGAGAGACAAUGAGGGCUUGACCCAGAGUUAGAGUGGUGGCUCUAUGAGUGGAGAGGAAGGGAGAUAGGCAAGAGAUGUUGAAGGGAAGGAAUUUGAUUUGGUAACAGACCGGAUAUGGGGAGUGAUGACACAGGGAAGCGGUGGUGCCUUGGGCAGAAACCAGGAAGCCCCACUGAUCUGGCUAAAAGGUAUUCUGUUGCUCUAGGAAGUUCUGAGGGACUCUUAAGUGAAUUCCAAUGUCCCCAGUAAAUAGAAAAUGCUCCUGUUUCUCUUAGUGGCUCUUGUAUCCAUCUCCCCAUUGGCAUCAAAGUCAAGUUCAUCUUUAUCUUCAAUCCACAUUGGUGGAAAAGUGGCUUGUAAUUUUUCUCCUAGUUCUGUGGGUCUUCGGUGUUGAGCGUGGACUGGCCCACCUUCAAAGCCCUUUAUGGAUUAACAGAGUCUUCGGGACAGAAGCGGCUGUCACUUAGCCCUGUGGCGGUAAUACUCUGAAUCCUGCACUUGAAAGGCCUUUUUUCCUUUAUCCCUAAUCUGCCUACAUAAUUCACGAGAGAGCCCGUGGUUAGUGGAAAGAGAGGUGGCCUUGGAGUUUAGGGUCACUCUGCCUCUGGAACAUGGUGGCUUAUCAAGGCCCUCCAGCAUCUCUGCGGCUACCAGUUAGAGAUGAGUUGUUAGUUGAUCAGCAGAGGGAGUUUUGACACUGGAAGUUCCCAGCACUGACACAAUGAUAGGUCUGUCUAUUACAAAAAUGAUUAAUAUGGAACCGGGUUCUGAGUAAUAAUACCUGUAUAACCCAGUGGAAUGGCUUGUCAACUCCAGGAGGGGGGAGGGAAGAGGGGAGGGAGAGAACAAGAAUCAAAAAACCUCAGAAAAAAAUUUAAUUAAGUUUAAAAAUAAAAAUAAAAAAUUAGGUCAGGGCAGCCCAGCAAAGUGAAUUCAUAUUAAUGUCAUGAUUGAAAUCAUGGCUACAUCUUCAGUUUAAAAAAAUAGAUCUUUAUCUAUAGAUAUUAAGAGCUAAGCCUACUUCUUUUCCUGUGAUCUUAGAUAGAUGGAGCAGUAGACAAAGCACUGCGUCUGAAGGUAGGAAGACCCGGAUUCCAAUCCAGCCUAAAAUAUUGUCUGGCUGUGUGAUCCUGGACAGGUCAUUUUUCCUUUGUUUCCUCCAUUUCCUCAGCUGUAAAGUGGGGGUGAUGAGGAAUAAAUGAGUAUUUGUUAAGUGCUUUACACACCUACAUAAAGGUUAGCUCUAUAAUUUUUUUUUCAUGAAAGGGGAUGGUUAUGGAAGGAGAAUGCAUAUGCCCUGGCAUUUGAUUGGAUGCUUUCAUUGGAAAGGCAGAAUUCGUUCCUGAUUUCCUCCUUGAAGCCUUGUAUUUCAGAGAUCCAGAAAGCCCAAGGGUGACAGCCUCAUUGUCUUUAAAACUAGGAUCUGCACAAUUUUUCUUUGGUCUGGUAUUUUGUAGGAAGUGGCCCUGUUCAUUGAUUAGUCAUCGGGGAAUGAAUUCCCAACUGUGAACGUCCAGAUGGGAAUGUGUGGACCCUGGGAUCAGCCUGAGAGAGGUCUUGGGACCCAACCCCACUGUUGGAUAAAUGAGGACAGAGACCCAGAGGGAGGGAGUCACACAGUGCCAUUGCCAGCGAGUAACAGAACUGGGUGUCGACCCCAGGGGCUGCCCACUGCACCAGGCUCCAGCCUCCUGGAGCUGGUUUAGGUUGCAUUUCCUGCCCUCCUCUCUUCCAGCUCGGCCUCCACUCCCAUCCUUCCGCUGUUCUCUUGUCUCUCUCUGAUCUUCUCUUUUCAUCCUU